AUGUGUUGGAAGCAGGAAAAAUGGGAAAGCGAAAAGAUCUGAGUGACUUUGACAAAUGCCAAAUAAUGAUGGCUAGACGACUGGGUUGGAGCAUCUCCAAAACGGCAAGUCUUGUUUCCAAUAUGCAGUGGUUAGUACUUAGCAAAAGCGGUGUGAGGUAGGACAACUGGUGAACUGGCGUCAGGAUCGUGGGCGCCCAAGGCUCAUUGAUACACCUGGGGCAGUAAAAGCCAUAAGAUCUGGUCCGAUCAAACAGAAGAGCUACUGUAGCUCAAAUUGCUGAAAAACGUAAUGCUGGCCGUGAUAGAAAGAUGUCAGAACACACAACGCAUCGUAAUUUGCUUUGUCUGUUGCGGCGUAGCCACAGACUGGUCAGAGUGCCCAUGAUGACCAUGGUCUAACUCCAAAAGCGCGGUCAAUGGGGAUGUGAGUGUCAGAACUAAACCAUGGAGCAAUGGAUGAAGGUUGUCUGGUUUGAUGAAUCACAUUUUCUUUUAGAUAAGUUGGAUGGCUGGCUCUGUGUGUGUCGUUUACCUGGGGAAGAGAUGGCAGCAGGAUGCAUUAUAGGAAGAAGGCAGGAUGGUGGAGUAAGUGUUAAACUUUGGGCAAUGUUCUGCUGGGAAACCUUGGGUUCUGGCAUUCAUGUGGACAUUACUUUAAUACGUACACCCUACCUAGAGAUUGUUGCAGAGCACGUACACCCCUUCAUGGUAAUGGUGUUUCCUGUUGGCUGUGGCCUCUCUCAGCAGGAUAAUGCGCCCUGCCACCUUGCAAAAAUUGUUCAGGAAUGGUUUGAGGAACACACCGAGGAGAGGUACUCCCUGUAUCUAUUAUACAGUAUAUCCAUUACCUGUUGUAUCUGUAUUUGGGUUCGGCAGGGAUAACACUCAGAUACUUUGUUGCUUUUCACAUAGUGUCUGGGGAAAUUCCUCUGACCCAUCUUUGCAUUUACAAGUUGUGUGGUUACAUUUGUUUUCUUUGAGAGAUUUACUGUUUCUAUAUUAUCAUAGCAGGUUUAGGUCAUUUUGAUUUUGAUUUUUAUGUUCAUUAUUUUUAUCCAAUUUUAUUGAAUAAAAUAUUGGUUUAUUUGUAUAUUCAUAUUAAUAAUUGUUUAAGGUUUUUUGAUUAACGAGCGCACACGCUUUGUUUAACUUUUGAGCUUAUACUCCGUUACAGUCGCUGGUGGAUGUGUGUAUCUGCUCUUAUAUUUAUUUUUAUGUUUUUAUAUACUACACCUUUAUUAUACUUUUUAUGGUUUGAGGAACAUCACACAGAGUUCAAGGUGUUGACUCGGCCUCCAAAUUCUCCAGAUCUCACCCUAAUUAGGCAUUUGUGGGAUGUGCUGGAACAACAAAUCCAAUCCAUGGAGGUCCCUCUUUGCAACUUGCAGGACUUAAAGUUUCUGAAGCUAAUGUCUUAGUGCCAGAUUCCAUAGGACACGUUCAGAGUGAAAACAUAGCAAAGCUAUUAAAGGUGUGAGGACCAUGUUGGUAUACUUGUUACCAGAUAAUAAUUGGGGUUUUCACAUAGAUGGAGAGGCAUGGUCUAUAUAUUAAAGGGGAGCAGGGAGAUUUUGGAAAAUAUUGUACUAAAAUGUAUCCCACAUAUACCAGUCUAUGCGGUGGGAUAUGGGCCACUCAUCCCUGGCUGCAGGCUGGCUUUCGGGCUCUACAGAUUUUUUGUUUGUAUAGGAAUGUAAACCUGGAGUGCAGUGCUAUCACACCAUUAUACACAUAUGCUCUUUGUUAGGCAAGAAGUAUUGUAUGCCCCACCUCACAACUUGCCGAACUUAAGGGACCUGCUGCUAAUGUCUUGCUACCAGAUACCCCAGGAUCAGUUCAAAGGUUUUGUGUAGUCCGUGUCUCGAAGCAUCAGAGCUGUUUUGGAAGGACAAAGGGGGACCUACAUAACUGUAGGCUGGUGGUUUUAUUGUUGUGGCUGGUCAGUAUACAUUUGAUCACAUAUCUAAUAAUAUUUAUUUAUUUAUAAAAUAUUUUACCAGGAAAGAUACAUUGAGAUUUCUCUUGUUUUCAAGUAUGUCCUGGGUCCACAAAAUAUUGCAUUUCAGCAAUGCUUUUAUAAGACAUCCGCAAAAAAAAAAAAAAAAAGUAGAUAUGUUUGACAGCUCAGCCAUUCCCCUGAUGGAUUUUACAGCAAUUGUAUUCCAGAAAGGAUACAUUAUAUAUUUUAUUUUAAUUGUUUUAUGACGUUUACUGAUAUUUGACAGAAGAUGGCGCUAUAUGCACUGCAGGUUUUCUUUUAUUAUCAUUUAUCAUUUUAUGGUUGCAAAGCCAAAAACAAAUUAAGAGUUAGCCUUAUGGGUUGUAUUAUGGCUUGUUGUUGUUAUAUAUUUAUAAAGCAGUGUAAAACGGGAUUUUCCAAUACCAUGAAUAAACAUUACCGGUAUUGAAGGCUUUUUAGUUUACUUCUCUAUAACAAGAAUCAAAUCAAAUCAGCUGCCUUCUUGUUGUAUAUGUUGUAUUUGAUCCUCUGCAGUAUAGAUAUUUCAGUUAUGUUAUGUUUGCAUUGAGUUCCAAGUGAAUGUCUGGCUCAGAGAUGAUCGUUCUGAAAGACUGUUAGAUUGUGUUCGUUCAUUCUUGAUUGAUGGAUUUGCUUUCUCUAAAAGACCAGGGAAGAAGCUGUUGUUCCAGAUUGUUGGUCUGUGUCUGUAAAUUCAGUUAUACUACAAAUAAUGUAACACAUUCUCUAAUAUAAAUAAACCAGUGAUAAGAUGAUAUCACAAUAGCAGAUCUGCCUUCCAAUGGUUAAAUCUUGGAAUGACUACCUUAAUCCUCCUGAUAAGUAUAAUAAUUUCUUAUUUUUAUCAGUGUUGGCAGCUGUGAAAUUACCUGGUAACAUUUGAACUUGAAGUGGUUUCUCUUUAUAUAUAGAUAUCACAAAUUUGUGGCUCCAUUGUUGCCUCCAGAACAAAACAAUGGCCUAAAAACCAGCGAAAAGAUACAGUACUCCUCCUCCUCAUUUCUUUUUUUUAUUAUAAACUAACAGCAGGCAACUUUUCAGCCCAACAAGUGUCUUUUGAACCCGUAAAGGGACACUACUCACUGCAAUUUUAUGUCCGUGCAGAGGCACAUCUGUAGGAGUUAGGUGGUAGCGACCUCCAUAAAUUUUGUUCAGAGAACUUUUUCCUAUAGCAAAUCAAAGAUAACGACAAAGAAAAACUACUUGCACCCACCCAUAAAUGUACUCACUCCUGUGAUGGAGCAAAACAGACUCUGGCUCUGUAACCAACUUACAACUCUGUAGAAAAUAGUCUAGAACUCAACAGUAGGUGAAAUGCAACCAACAUUUAUUGAGGUUCUUACAGAACACAGAACAACAUUUUGACCUAGUGAUAGGUCUUUCUCAACUAAGCUUUAUCUAUAGACGGAAACAUUGUUCUGUUAGCUACGAGGACCUCAAUAAAUUUGUAGUGCAUAUCACCUACUGCUGAGUCAAAAAGAUUUAUUUUUUUAACAUAAUGGCAUGUCAGGCUCAGAAACUACUAAUGCAUCUUGAAUAUUAUUAGAAUAAAUGAUGCCAAAUACUUAAUUACAAUUCUAGGUUUCAUACAGUUAAUGGCAUUUUGAAUUUACAUGAGAUCUUAAAGUUUGUUGACUUCAUAGAUUGAAACAAAAUCAGAUCACAACCAUAAAGCUCUUAAAUGGCCUUCAUUCCACACUGGUGCACGCUGUUGUGUUACACGUGGCUCACUCUCCGUCCUAUACAGAUUGACAUGGCUCAUGGAAUAGCACAGACCUGGGUCUACUCUAAACCAUAGCUGCUAUGACUAGGCUAACAGAAGACUGUAUCAGUGUGGGGCACGUCUAAAACUUGUAAUACACGUUGAAUAUGAGACUUUCCCUGCUCUUUUAGGUCCCCAAAAUGCACUAUCCAUUAUAUACCCUGGAUCCCAGAAAUACUAGGAAGGUAUGUUCUGAUUUAUAAAUGACCUGUAUAAAGAUGUGACCCAUGUAUAGGUCUUUGUUAAGCCUGGUUACUCAUAAGGAAGUGUCACUAUGAACUAAACACAGUCUGAUGUCCAUAUCGGGUACCCUAACUAGGGCCUCAAUUUUAAAAAGCUUUUCCAAAUAAUUCAAUAGUGUCAGAAAAACUUUCCAAAUUACCUGUCUACAGAAGUCACCAUUAAAGGGACACUAUGGGUCCUUUUACCACAACCUCUCAUUGAUGUUAUCUGUGUGCAUUGUAAAACAUUGCAGUUUCAGAUAAACUCUUGAGUUUGUCUCCAUGAAACCAUACUUUGCAUGAGGUCAUUCAGCAUGUUGGAAACCCCCAUAGAAAAGCAUUCAGUCAACAUUUUCCUAUGGGAGAAGGCCUAAUGCUCGAGUGGUGCUUGCUGCACAUGUGAAUUGGCUGAUGACGUCCGGACAUUGGUGCUGAAAUCAG
rnacentral:lncRNA from 1 species